rnacentral:rRNA from 1 species
UACAGAGGUCUCAAGCGUUGUUCGGAUUCAUUGGGCGUAAAGGGUGCGUAGGCGGCGCGGUAAGUCGGGUGUGAAAUCUCGGAGCUUAACUCCGAAACUGCAUUCGAUACUGCCGUGCUUGAGGACUGGAGAGGAGACUGGAAUUUACGGUGUAGCGGUGAAAUGCGCAGAUAUCAGGAAGAACACCCGUGGCGAAGGCGGCUCUCUGGAACGCAACUGACGCUGAGACGCGAAAGCGUGGGGAGCGAACAGGAUUAGAUAC